rnacentral:rRNA from 1 species
UACAGAGGGUGCGAGCGUUAAUCGGAAUUACUGGGCGUAAAGCGCGCGUAGGCGGACCUGCAAGUCGGGGGUGAAAGCCCGAGGCUCAACCUCGGAACUGCCUUCGAUACUGCGGGUCUCGAGUCCGGGAGAGGUGAGUGGAAUUCCUAGUGUAGAGGUGAAAUUCGUAGAUAUUAGGAAGAACACCAGUGGCGAAGGCGGCUCAGCUG